rnacentral:rRNA from 1 species
GGAUCAAUAUGUUGGUCGUGCUAUUGUACGUACUGGUAUUAUUGAUUUCUACCUUCUGAUGAACCUUGAUGUCAUUAAUUUGAUGUCAUGGGGAAUCAGGACUGUUACUUUGAAAAAAUUAGAGUGUUUAAAGCAGGCUCACGCUUGAAUACAUUAGCAUGGAAUAACGAAAUAGGACGUUUGAUUCUAUUUUGUUGGUUUCCAGGAUCGACGUA